GAUGAUUCUGGUGUUGGAUUUUCUAAUGCUAGUGCAUGUAGAUUUCAAAAUUUUUUUAAAUCUAAAAUAUAGCUAAAAAAAUUAGAUUAAAAUAUUUUUAAUCUAAGCAUAUAUUCAUCAUAUGAAAACACCUAUGGAUCUAGUCAUAUGCUGAAAUUAACAUAAACUGAUUUUAGAAAUAACAAAUGAAAGUUUGUAAUUAAUCACAUAUCUGAAUCAUUUUUCCUUCAAACCUAUAACUGGGGUUGAAUCCGAUUCAAUCCCUAGAUCUGGAUCCGGAUAGAUUCUGAAUCAGCAGCACAAGCAUCCUGUCUGUACGGAUAUCCACAGGGCCAAUCUCAAUUAUUUUCUCUUGGAUCCUGCUUGUCUAAACCAAAGUCUAAAUAGGCUUGAACCACACUUGGAUCGAAAUAGAACCACUUUGAUGACUCUUUUAAUCUUUCUUUUUUGAUUCUUGAAGAAACCAAGAACCCUUUCUUGAUCCUUCAACUAAUCAAAAGGAACAACAACCAAGAAUUGGUUGUAACUGACUCUCAACAAACUUGAGAGCAAAGAGAACAAAAACCAAAUAAGUGGUGCCAACAAUUGACCCACUUCCUUGGAUGUGCCGCCCACCCUCAUUUUUUUAGCUUUAAGGGAGGAUGUCAAGAGAG
rnacentral:lncRNA from 1 species